CUAAUGUGAUAUCACAACACUGUAGAUACAUCUCUCUAAUGUGAUAUCACAACACCGUAGAUACAUCUCUCUAAUGUGAUAUCACAACACUGUAGAUACAUCUCUCUAAUGUGAUAUCACAACACUGUAGAUACAUUCCUCUAAUGUGAUAUCACAACACUGUAGAUACAUCUCUCUAAUGUGAUAUCACAACACCGUAGAUACAUCUCUCUAAUGUGAUAUCACAACACUGUAGAUACAUCUCUCUAAUGUGAUAUCACAACACCGUAGAUACAUCUCUCUAAUGUGAUAUCACAACACUGUAGAUACAUCUCUCUAAUGUGAUAUCACAACACUGUAGAUACAUUCCUCUAAUGUGAUAUCACAACACUGUAGAUACAUCUCUCUAAUGUGAUAUCACAACACCGUAGCUACAUCUCUCUAAUGUGUGGGUAUAUAUCCAGCCAGAACAAACACCAGUCCCUGUUCAUUCCUCUCUUCAUCCCUCCAUACCCUCCCCAGGAUAAUGAGAUCAGUUCCCCCCCCUCCCUGAUACAUCACACUGUUUUCCUCUAAAUUAAAAGAAUUGCAUAACCAAUCUCUCUCCCAUUCCUCUCUCUCUCUCUUUUCCCCCGGUCUCCCUCUCUCUUUCUUUCCCAGUGGGGGCUGCCUUUCGUUGAUCAAAGGAAACCUGCUUACCAUGCAGCCAGGAGAUCUGACGUCCAACCAACAACCAUAGAAAUAGAAUCCAUGGAAUAGAUUCAUUUAUGUCAACGAUGGGUUAGAGGUUCCAAGCCCGUUCUAUUAAUUAUAUUUCUAUGCCAAAAACAUCCUCUUGCUCCCAAAUCUGUUUAUCUAGCUGGAUCUGCCUACCGUAGAGAGACAUCCCUCUCUCAUAUACCUCUGGAACUAUCAGUCUACUGUAGAGAGACAUCCCUCUCUCAUAUACCUCUGGAACUAUCAGUCUAAUGUAAAGAGACAGUCCUUUCUCCUAUACCUCUGGAACUAUCAGUCUAAUGUAGAGAGACAUUCCUUUCUCCUAUACCUCUGGAACUAUCAGUCUAUUGUAGAGAGACAUCCCUCUCUCAUAUACCUCUGGAACUAUCAGUCUACUGUAAAGAGACAGUCCUUUCUCAUAUACCUCUGGAACUAUCAGUCUACUGUAGAGAGACAUCCCUCUCUCAUAUACCUCUGGAACUAUCAGUCUACUGUAAAGAGACAGUCCUUUCUCAUAUACCUCUGGAACUAUCAGUCUACUGUAAAGAGACAGUCCUUUCUCAUAUACCUCUGGAACUAUCAGUCUACUGUAGAGAGACAUUCCUUUCUCAUAUACCUCUGGAACUAUCAGUCUAAUGUAAAGAGACAGUCCUUUCUCCUAUACCUCUGGAACUAUCAGUCUAAUGGAGAGAGACAUUCCUUUCUCAUAUACCUCUGGAACUAUCAGUCUAAUGUAAAGAGACAGUCCUUUCUCCUAUACCUCUGGAACUAUCAGUCUAAUGUAGAGAGACAUUCCUUUCUCCUAUACCUCUGGAACUAUCAGUCUAUUGUAGAGAGACAUCCCUCUCUCAUAUACCUCUGGAACUAUCAGUCUACUGUAAAGAGACAGUCCUUUCUCAUAUACCUCUGGAACUAUCAGUCUACUGUAAAGAGACAUCCCUCUCUCAUAUACCUCUGGAACUAUCAGUCUAAUGUAAAGAGACAUCCCUCUCUCAUAUACCUCUGGAACUAUCAGUCUACUGUAGAGAGACAUCCCUCUCUCAUAUANNNNNNNNNNGACCAACACGUCAUUCCUAACCCUACCUACAAGCCAAAACAAAUACAUGGAGCAAAACCACCCCCAUCUGUUUGCCUUUGCUGUGUGUGA
rnacentral:lncRNA from 13 species